ACGAACGCUGGCGGCGUGCCUAAUACAUGCAAGUAGAACGCUGAAGGAAGGAGCUUGCUCUUUCUGGAUGAGUUGCGAACGGGUGAGUAACGCGUAGGUAACCUGCCUGGUAGCGGGGGAUAACUAUUGGAAACGAUAGCUAAUACCGCAUAAAAUUGAUUAUUGCAUGAUAGUCAAUUAAAAGGAGCAACUGCACCACUACCAGAUGGACCUGCGUUGUAUUAGCUAGUUGGUGGGGUAACGGCUCACCAAGGCGACGAUACAUAGCCGACCUGAGAGGGUGAUCGGCCACACUGGGACUGAGACACGGCCCAGACUCCUACGGGAGGCAGCAGUAGGGAAUCUUCGGCAAUAGACGGAAGUCUGACCGAGCAACGCCGCGUGAGUGAAGAAGGGUUUCGGAUCGUAAAGCUCUGUUGUAAGAGAAGAACGAGUGUGAGAGUGGAAAGUUCACACUGUGACGGUAUCUUACCAGAAAGGGACGGCUAACUACGUG
rnacentral:rRNA from 1 species